UUCACUUUGCAAGUACUUACAUGCUGCUGGGCUGGAAUCUUUGCUAAAGGGAUUGCAGGCUCUACAGUGUGUGUGAGUCAUGCUGGUGAAUC